rnacentral:lncRNA from 1 species
GAAUUAUUUUAUUACUUGAGAUCAUUUUUAGUACACUUGUAAGAAAUUCAUCAAGUUUUUGGCGUCGUUGUCACGAAUUGUUGAAUUAUUUGAACAGAUAGAUUUUGGUGUUUAAAAGUUUUAUUUUUUUAUUUUUUUAUUUUUUAUUUUAUUUUUUCUAUUUCAUUUCCUAUUUAGUUUUAUUUUUUAUUUUUGUUAUGAUUAUGUUUUUUACUUGGUGUAGUGCCACUAAGGUAUUUUCUGAUUGUUUAUGCAUGAUUUAGGAUCGCAAAGACGACUAGAGAAAAUCAGAAAGCAGUGAGAAGAAAGUAAGUAGUUAUGGCUAAUCCACAACCUAGGAGGACUAUG